rnacentral:rRNA from 1 species
AGAGUUUGAUCCUGGCUCAGAAUGAACGCUGGCGGCGUGCCUAACACAUGCAAGUCGAACGAGAAAACGGGCUUCGGCCUGUGAGUAAAGUGGCAUACGGGUGAGUAACACGUGGGUAACCUGCCCGGAGGUGGGGGACAACUCUUCGAAAGGGGAGCUAAUACCGCAUAACAUCCCGAGCACUUCGGUGCACGGGAUCAAAGUUUGCCUCUGUUUCAUGCAAACGCCACCGGAGGGACCCGCGCCCCAUUAGCUAGAUGGUGAGGUAAUGGCUCACCAUGGCGACGAUGGGUAGCCGGCCUGAGAGGGUGAUCGGCCACACUGGAACUGAGAUACGGUCCAGACUCCUACGGGAGGCAGCAGUGAGGAAUUUUGCGCAAUGGGGGAAACCCUGACGCAGCGACGCCGCGUGGAGGACGAAGGCCUUCGGGUCGUAAACUCCUGUCAAGAGGGACGAAUCCCGGUUGGAUGAAUAAGUCGACCGGUUGACGG